UGAUUUUAAAGUUUGACAGACAUGCACAAAUUGUUGGCAUUUUUUUAAACAAGUAAAAGUAGGAAAUACAUAAAAUUGUAGGUACUUUGAAGAAAUAUAGUUAACUGUAAGUGCUGUAUUUUAAUAAUCUAUCAAAAAUCAAAAUCAUCAGGAUAAUAUUAGGUAUUGAUUUUCAGACAAGAAUUAGAUUACAGUGAUGGUCAAAAGCAUUUAGAUAUUGCUUUGAAAUCUACAGAUAAGGUAUGGCAGUUUCAUUUUAAAGAACAAGAUGUUAAAGUUUGUGAUAAAAUUGUCAUCAGAAAUACUGUCCACUUCAGUAUUUACAUAGGAAAAUAUUGGAGGAUGAACCUCUACCUACUGCCUCAGGUUAAUUUAAAUUCUGAAUUGCAACAACAGCAACAAGCAAGAAGGGCACCAUUAAAUGAGUAUUAUACACAUAAAGCAACAACACAAUAAAAAACCAAAAUAUGAACACCAGCAACUAAAACAGGAACCAUUAAAUGAAUAUUACACACAGCAAUAACAGCAUCAAAUAAUGGAAAUAAUGGACCCUACUGCUCAAAUCAAAAACAAAAUUUCAUCAUUACCACUUUAUUGGUUAUAUCAAUAAAAGAAAUUAUUGAGUUUAUGAGUCUAGAUCCUACAAGCAAGCAGAUCUAUCACAUAAUUUAAAAUGAAGAUUUAUCUAUUAUAGUAUGUAAUUUAUUCUAAUAAUGAAAAAGAAACUUUGGAUCAAAAAAUAUUUUCUUCUGAUGAGGCUUAUGAAUAUUAAAGUCUGUUGAAGUUUGGCCAUUAUGUGUUGGUAUACAAUUUAUUUAUGAUGUUACAGUAGUUAAACCAUCCGAAUACAAAACAUAUUUAAAAUCCACUAUUCUUAAUGAACCAACUUGAGAGGAAGCUAAGAGAAAGGUUCUAUUGGGUGGACUACAAGAAAAAGGGACAUAUACAUGAGGAUCUGGAAGGGCUAUAACAUUACGUCUCAAGCCAUGGAACAAUAGGAAACGAAAUUCAAAGGAAAAUAUUACAAUACGUGGGAUGCAAAUUAUAGUGCAAAGAAUUGAGAAAAAGAAUUAUUAAAAGUAGUUAUAGUUAUGAUAGUUAAACCAUCCGACUACCAAAUAUAUUUAAAAUCCACUAUUCUGAAUGAAUAGCAACUACCAACUUGGGAGGAAGCUAUGAGAACGAUUCUAUUGGGUGAACUACAAGGAAGACAUGAGGAUCUGGAAGGGCUAUAAAAUUAUAUUAUUCCACGUCCCAAGCCAUGUUGGAAUAGCUGGGAGUGAAAAA